GGAGGGUGUAGGCGUUAUCCGGAUUUAUCGGGUUUAAAGGGUGCGUAGGUGGUGAUAUAAGUCAGCGGUGAAAGUUUGUGGCUCAACCUGGGAACUGCAUCUGAAACUGUGGUUCUUGAGUGAAGUAGAGGUAAGCGGAAUUCCUAGUGUAGCGGUGAAAUGCGUAGAUAUUAGGAGGAACAUCAGUGGCGAAGGCGGCUUACUGGGCUUUAACUGACGCUGAGGCUCGAAAGCGUGGGGAGCAAACAGGAUUAGAUACCCUGGUAGUCCACGCCGUAAACGAUGAUUACUAGGUGUGGGGGGACUGACCCCUUCCGUGCCGCAGCAAACGCAAUAAGUAAUCCACCUGGGGAGU
rnacentral:rRNA from 1 species